UUCAAGUCUAGGCCAGGAAAACCUUCUGCUCUUUUCUUAGGACUUAUAGCAGCAGCGUGUGGGCAAUUGGAAGUUUUCCUACAGAAUUAUGGGCAUGGAAGCCAGCUGUUGCCAAAUGGAAUUAACAAUAGAAAGUCAACAGUGAAAGUCUACCAAAAUGGUGAUGGUUUCAAGUCUUGCAAUGGUUCAUUAAACGGUGUGCACAGCAACGGCAAUGGUGUGCACAGCAACGGAAAUGGCAAUGGUGUGCAUAGCAACGGCAA
rnacentral:misc_RNA from 1 species